GAUCAUGGCUCAGGAUGAACGCUAGCUACAGGCUUAACACAUGCAAGUCGAGGGGAAACGACAUCGAAAGCUUGCUUUUGAUGGGCGCCGACCGGCGCACGGGUGAGUAACGCGUAUCCAACCUGCCCACCACUUGGGGAUAACCUUGCGAAAGUAAGACUAAUACCCAAUGAUAUCUCUAGAAGACAUCUGAAAGAGAUUAAAGAUUCAUCGGUGGAUGGAUGGGGAGUGCGU
rnacentral:rRNA from 1 species